AUAUGCUACGGAGACUGCUUACCAUGAGGCGGGCCGUAUGCUUGUUUGCACCGACGUAGAGUAAAAAAAGAAACCGUACUUUCAUUUAUAAAGUAUAUAUGACGAGCCCCACUGCUGGGUAGCAGGGCGAAAAAUGAUGAAAAGACGAAGAUGAAGAUAUAUCGGAGAGCGGUUUGACUGUUAAACUACAUAGAUAGUAUGUGGGGCUCGAGUUAAGUCUUAUAUGCAGGGGUCGGACAAAAAGUGCGGAUGACGUCAAACCAGUUAUAGGAUGAUUUCAAAUAGUAUUUUUGAUUUUCAUAAACAAUUAUCACUUAUCAUUUAUCAACCUCUUUAUUAAACGAUAUCGCCACUUGAAAUGAGUAAGUACGUUUUUGACUGACACAUUGUCAAUCAGAUGAAGAAUAAAUUGACUUCGUUAUUGUUUAACUAUUGUAUCUUCACGAUUAUAUUUAGCUAAAAUUUAUAUUUACUAAUGUAUAAGAAAACGCUCUAAAAUGUCAUCUUUACUCGAAUAUUGUGGCAAUUUUCGUUUUUGGAGGUACGUGACAAACACGUAUACUGCUCUUGCCGUAAUCAAGAUAUACCAACGAAGGUAAGUAAUAUUAAAAGACAUUUGGAGACAACCAAACAUGUCGGAAACGUAGAAAAAGAGGGCAAAGUGAAUUUAAUAUGAACUUUACAAAUUUUAUGAUAGCAGCAAACAUACCCUGGGUGCAACUACAAAAUGAAAACUUCCGUAAUUUCAUAAAAAAAUGCAUGGAUGGUGAAUAUGCAAAAACAGUUACCAUACUUUUUAUCGGACAAAAAUAGUCAUCUAUGCAUAAUUUCAUUAAAUAAUAAGUAUAAUAACAUCAAAUUAUCUUUUUUUAUUUUUACUAAUCUUACCUAUUGUUCCCACUUUUGACUAUUAAACCUAUUUAUCUGAGGAUCUCACAGACUUGUUCUAACUAAUUUCAAAUAAUUAUACCUUAUGGUAACAAGUUUCGUGAAAUUUAUUUUAUUCACUAUAUCACCCUACCACCUGUAUUAUUAAUUCCAUGGAUUUAUUUACGAUUAUUUUGUUACUUCAUUAAUACUACUUUGUUACUACAUGUCACACGGAAGUUUAAAUACAAAUUCAAACAUCAUCCUGUGUGCAAGAUUACGUCAUUUUUACGUCAUCCGCACUUUUUGUCCGACCCCUGCUUAUAUGUAUAAGAUGACAUGGAUGAAAUCUUAUAUAACUUAAUAGAAUAUUAUUUUUAUGGCCUGUAUAUGUAAUGUACACACCAAAAUUGUAAGCGUAUAAUCAUUACAUAAAAAGAGGCAUCGAUCGGCACAGAUGUAAAAAGUUUACUUAUAAUAUAAGUUACGAAAUAAAUAUUUUUCAUUUUCAUUUUUCACAUGGGGUAAGGCAACCACCGGGACAAGACGAGCACUUCAUGGAGUCGUUAGCGUUCGCUUUGCCCCGCUUAGGUAAAAUAAACUACGUUCUUAUCACUUCUUUCCCCAUAAUCUCACUUUAGUUAUAUUUAGGGUUGCAUAUUCCCGUAAAUACGAGACUGUCACCGUAUUUCUGCGUCUCGUUUUUGUCCCGUAUAUCAAUACCGCUGUAGAAUACGUAUAUAAAUGGUCACAAUUAUCCCUUUUUAACCACUUUAUUCCUAUACCUAUGGGGAUAUGUAUUUAUGGAAUGCACGUAGGUUGAUAAUGGGCUGCAGCCACGAGGGUUAAUAAAAUGUCAAUUUUCAGAUAUGUUUUCGAGUUACAAACCCUUCCGCAAGCAUGUAGUAAAGAGGAUCCCCGCGAAGCGAGAGGACGAUGAUGCGGGAUGUAUUCUAUCCGGAUCUCACAGUUCGUGCUGCUGUGUACGCUAUAAAUAACUUAUGAAUUAUGAAAUAAGUAUACUCGAAAGUGAGCGAUAUUUAUAUAGAUUUAAGGUUCGCGAUUUGCGAAACUAGCGAAAUAAUGUAUAAAUUUUGAUACAGGCAUAACUUACACCGGAGGUGGUAGAACUGGUAGAGGUAUCGGAGGUGUGAUAAUUAAGAGACUUUUUUUUUUUGUUUUUUCGCGUGUUUUUUAAAGGUAAGGCCCGAUUUAAACAUUGAUUAGUGUUAAGUGCGAGUUUGUACAUUUACUGUUUUGUAUUCGAGUUGCUCGUGUCAUCCAGGAUGACGCACAGAUUUGUCAAAUCUAACCUUUAAUAUAUGGAGUGUGGAAUUAAGAGGAGUCACAUCUCUUAUGGUAGAACUGUUGCAAAAGUGUCCAGCUGUCAGCUAUAAAUAAUAGUUCCAAAUCUCUCCAGAGUAGCUAAGAACCUAGGCGCUAUUGACGGAGUGAAGUGCACUGUCUAUAUGAUUUGAUUUUUUUGUUCAAGUACACUAGGUAUUGUAGCGCCACCUAUUUAAGUUUUUUUGAUGACACUUUUUGGUACAUGGAGAUUUAUUUCCUUACCUCCACCUUCCGUACUUUAAUAUUAACAUGAUAUUACGCGCCUCCGUGAAUGACACGAUCUACACCGUGUUUUUAUUGAAUUUCGUUAACUUCGGGGUAUCGGUAAGUACGUUUAAGGAAACUAAAUGGCAUUGUUAAUUUAAAAAAAAAAUUACUUACUAAUUUUAUUUACUAAUUUUAUUUUUAUAAAAAGUAACUAAAUGUUGCAUAUAGCGUUGUUGUAAACACGGGCAUUACAUUUAACUCAACCAAACAAUUGAAAACUGUGACAUAUUAAUGUCAUUUCGAACGUCGAUCGUCCGAGAUAAUACUUACGUUUAAUAGCAAAUGUAUGAAUCUAUGACCUCGCACUUUUUUUUAAAUUUAUUUAUAAAAGAGAAGUUACAUCGGCUAUGAUCACUUAUGGCAGAAAACUUAUUCUACCCUCCAACAUUGUUAAGUAAGUUAUUGCUUACUUGAUUUAUAGCUAUAUUUAUAGUGCGAGUGCGAUUUCUUACAAACAAUUGUAAUAGCUUUAGAUAGGCAGACGAGAUAAACAUUAGUAGCAAUAACAGACUAACUAACUAGGUUUGUUUACCUAUUUAGUCAGUCUGUUACUGCAUUGUCAUGGGAACAGUAGGUAUAGGUGCUCGAUUUCAUUUCAACCAGAUACUGGGAAACAACUAAACACUAAUCAAUAAGUAAACAGGCCCCAGGCGCGGAUACAAGGGGGGGGGCAUAGGGGCAAUGGCCCCCCCCUAAAACCCUGGUUCUCACAUUACUAAAUUGAGUAACAUUUUUUUUUACCUUAUUUUCUGUGCAAAAAUAUAUGAUUUUCUCAAAAUGGCCCCCCCCUAAGCCAAAUCUUGUAUCCGCGCCUGACAGGCCCUAAGGCAUGUGUACACGCUCGUAAGGGCCUUAUGAGAUAAAAAUUAAUGAUUGAUUAUCUCCGAAAUGGAGUUAAUUAGAAUAUCGGUGUCAUUGAGAAAGUUACUUAAUUUAAGCUCAAGAAUGCACCCUCGAAAUUAACGCAAAUAAAAAAAAUAACACGGUGUAUACUUGUGUUUAGUAGCAAAUGUAUAAAUAAACUCGUACUUUACAAUUUAUUAUUUAUCAAUGUGUAAACGGGCCUAACUGACUUGGGAAAGAAUUCCUAUCUUAUAUUAGGACUUGUUUCAACUGUUUGAGGUUACAUUGCAAUUUCAAAGCAGGUAAUCCAAAGUAAAUCCGGUUAUUAAAUUAAAUCAGUGAAGAAGAUAACGCCGACGUAGUGGAGAUCCUGGACAAACUGCAUCCAAGCAUGAAGAAGCUAUACGGGGACGUCUACGUGAGCGAGAUCAUCGGCCGACACCCGGAGAGGCCGAGGAAAAUCGUAGUUGCACAGGAAUACAGGAGAGGUCCGAAGCUGUACAGUGUAUGUGGUAACUCGCCCCGUGGGGUCAAUUAUCUCUGUCGCUUACUAUACAUCUGAGCUAGUGCACGAAACAUAACGUAACGUGUCAUAGUUUGAGGUCGAUUAUGUAUAAAAUAUGAAAAAUGAACUCACCCUAUUUCCGAAGCUGACAAUAUAAAGGAUGACUUACGCUAGAACGGGUGCGGGCCGAGGCAUCCGACACUUCAUUUUCUAUGGCAGGGACUAGGGUUUCUGGUUUCUCGACCUUUUUAGACUAGACUUUCUUAGAAACUAACGAAUAUCUUGCUAAAAGUAGUUUGAGGUGGUUAGCGUGAUUGUUCAGUCAUUAAAAUCGUAAGGACCCGAUUCCUUAAUUAUUAUUUUUUUAAAGUGGUUUGGGGUGGCUAGCGUGAAGACAGCCACCCCAUACCACUUGUAAAAAAAAUGAAGGAAUAACCAUAAUAACGAGGAAUCUCUUCAAAAUUCAGGUAAUAAUAUUAACUUUUAUUUAUUUAUUUUGUAUUGCACAUAAGAAAUCCUUAGAGUCCAAAAUAGGGGACUUAGUAAAUAAACCUUUUUGACCACAUUUUUACACAAAAUAAUUUAAUUCAUACUGUUCAGACCCCUGCUGCGUUUGCUGUGAGGUUCAGUGCGCGCGAGUGAUUUUGCCGUCAACAUUGAAUAGGCGCUUACUGCGCCGCUAUUAAUAAUGUUUGUGUGUCUACCCAGCCCUUGCACUUUUUCAUAUCUACCAUGUAAGACGUUCAUCGUCAAUUAAAUAGUUUAAAAAAUAUAAUUUUGGGUUUUAAUAGUCAUAUUAAGGCUCCGUAAUGUACACUACGAUACACAUACGUAUUUUAAUAUUAGGUUCAGUACAGUUCAACCGACCUUUUUAUAUCAAUAUUAAAUUAGCUAUUGCGGAUUGCCGAACCAUGAUGGACUUUUUAUAAAUUAUUUUCAGGGUGCGCCUCCUCUGUAUUAUCUGAUGAUAGUGAUGAUCAAGCUUGCAUCGCAGUUGUAGAGCCGUCCAUUGCGCAAAACUCCACAAUGACCAGGUAACAUAAACAUCUAAAAGGGUUACAUUUUCAAGACUGCAUGAGGCUGGCAAUAGCCGUCCACUUAUGCCGGCCACAUGUUGCAAGACAAGCCCGUCUACUAGAAACGUUAAUAGUUUUUGACAUUUCAUUUUAAGUGUGCCUCAAUCAAUAUUUAAUAAUAGAUCAUGUCAUUCACGAACCACACUAAGAGCAUUUAUUUGUGUGAUAUAUGCACGAAUAAUUGUUUUUGACUUGCAUAUAUUUUAUAAGUGAGGUCACUUAUCUUUGCAGCUUACUAUACAUAUAUAAGUAUGCUUGUUGCGCUCAAAAUGAUAUUCUGUCAGGAAUUUUUAUGGCCUUUAUUGUGAAACAGCAGAAGAAGGUGACUGUACGAGUACAUAUAAUAGAGUUAGACCAAGCUAAGUUCGCAGUGAUUUCGAUAGCCCAGACUGUGCACGUGUUAAUUAAACGUCAUAAUUUCAUACGAGUUUCAUCCGUUUGUUAGCAAUUUACUAUAUACAUGUGGUCUAGCACCUAGCGUAACGGUGAAUUUGCUUACAAAAUAAUAUUUUCUUUAAAAACAAGUUUUUCUAAAAAACAGCCCAACCCGGCUCGUACUUUCCGGCAAAGAGAUACACUUUUAAAUCCACGUGCACAUUGCGCACUUUUUAGAAAAUGCAUUUUUAGCAUGACUGUUAAAUUUUUUAACAAACUACCAGAAUCGAUACAAACUUUACCGAUAAACAGAUUCCGCAUUACGAUAAAAACUUUAUUGAAAACCAAGUGCUACUAUGACAUAUACGAAUAUUUAAACGACAGCGAACUAUUUUGAUGUAUGUUUUUGUAAUACAUAUAUUAUCUAAAUUAUAUAAUUUAAAUAUAUACCUUAAUUUGACAUUUAAAAAUUAGAAUUUUUAUAUUAAUUGAUAAGCAUGUGUAUGUAAAUAGUUGAAAUUUAUUAUUUUGAUGAUGACAAAUACCUACAUUGAAUCUCAUGAGCUACACCGCCACUCACGUUAAAUAUUUGUAUGCCUCAUAAUAUGGCCAAAAGUGGAGCACUUAAUUAUCUCUAUGUAACACCUGUUUGUAACAAAUAAAUACGUUCGACAAAUAAAUGCAUUGAAUUGAAUUUAUUCUUAAAAGUUCUUGAUGUUUUCUUUAUUAUUUUGAGCUCUUAAUUUAAAAAUAUACAGGUAUUAUAAAUUAUUUUCAGUGGACGCUUCCUAUGUACUCUCCGCUGAUCAGUCCUGCAUCACGGUGGCAAAGACAUCUGUUGAGCAAAUUUCACCAGGUAACAAUAACUGGUCGCCUCGUCCACGAUCUGUGAUGAUCGGGACUGCAUCACUACUCCAGGGCCAUCAGAUGAUUUAACUGCAGCUAAUCCAGAUCUCGCGCGGGGAGCGGGUGUUCCGGCGCAGAACACGAGUACAGGAGAGGCUGCGGACGGGGACGCACAGAACACGAGUACAGGAGAGGCUGCGGACGGGGACGCACAGAACACGAGUACAGGAGAGGCUGCGGACGGGGACGCACAGAACACGAGUA